rnacentral:misc_RNA from 1 species
AACUAUGUGGCCACGUGAGCGGAUGAGCAGCUUUGGACACGUGUCUAUCGGUAGAUCCCCCGUCCUUGUGCGGCCGACUACCGUUGCCGUGUCCUGUCAUUCAUGUGGCUUAUGCUACUGUUGCCUUUCAAGUGCUUGCGUGCAGGUACCCGACCUAUGGGAAGUGGUGCUUUGUACAUGUUUGCCUCGCGGCGGAUGCCUCUAGGUUUCCUGCUGCGCCCAAGUAGCGCUUGUGGCCUUGCCUCGUGGUGCUGUCACUUGUACGUGGCCAGUGCUAUCAAGGCAAGCUUGCUUGUGUUGUUGGUCUCGGAUGUCSCUCACGUUAAAGGCUCUGGCCCAUUUGGGUUACUAGACUCUACCCUUGAGAAGCUCUCUGGAUCARAAACCGUCGUAGAUAAAGGGGUGUUGCCUCUACGUGUCCACAAAUUGUGGUACGAUAUGUAGCAUCCUGGGCCGAUGUUAGUAGGGGAAGGAGAGCUUUUGGCCCSCCCAACUAUGACAACUGGCUCAGUUGAACUCUGUCUGUACGGGUGGACAAUAGCUGAUGCCGGGCGUCAAAGAGGAUGUGCU